rnacentral:rRNA from 1 species
GAUGAACGCUGGCGGCGUGCCUAAUACAUGCAAGUCGAGCGAACAGACGAGGAGCUUGCUCCUCUGACGUUAGCGGCGGACGGGUGAGUAACACGUGGAUAACCUACCUAUAAGACUGGGAUAACUUCGGGAAACCGGAGCUAGUACCGGAUAAUAUAUUGAACCGCAUGGUUCAAUAGUGAAAGACGGUUUUGCUGUCACUUAUAGAUGGAUCCGCGCCGCAUUAGCUAGUUGGUAAGGUAACGGCUUACCAAGGCAACGAUGCGUAGCCGACCUGAGAGGGUGAUCGGCCACACUGGAACUGAGACACGGUCCAGACUCCUACGGGAGGCAGCAGUAGGGAAUCUUCCGCAAUGGGCGAAAGCCUGACGGAGCAACGCCGCGUGAGUGAUGAAGGUCUUCGGAUCGUAAAACUCUGUUAUUAGGGAAGAACAAAUGUGUAAGUAACGAUGCACGUCUUGACGGUACCUAAUCAGAAAGCCACGGCUAACUACGU